AUUGAACGCUGGCGGAAUGCUUUACACAUGCAAGUCGAACGGCAGCACGGGGGCAACCCUGGUGGCGAGUGGCGAACGGGUGAGUAAUACAUCGGAACGUGCCCCGUCGUGGGGGAUAACGUAGCGAAAGUUACGCUAAUACCGCAUACGAUCUAUGGAUGAAAGCGGGGGACCGUAAGGCCUCGCGCGAUUGGAGCGGCCGAUGUCAGAUUAGGUAGUUGGUGGGGUAAAGGCCCCCCAAGCCGACGAUCUGUAGCUGGUUUGAGAGGACGACCAGCCCCCCUGGGACUGAGACACGGCCCAGACUCCUACGGGAGGCAGCAGUGGGGAAUUUUGGACAAUGGGCGCAAGCCUGAUCCAGCCCUUCCGCGUGCAGGACGAAGGCCUUCGGGUUGUAAACUGCUUUUGUACGGAACGAAAAGGUCCUGGUUAAUACCCGGGGCUCAUGACGGUACCGUAAGAAUAAGCACCGGCUAACUACGUG
rnacentral:rRNA from 1 species